rnacentral:rRNA from 1 species
CAGGCCUAACACAUGCAAGUCGAACGCCCCGCAAGGGGAGUGGCAGACGGGUGAGUAACACGUGGGAACAUACCCUUCGGUUCGGAACAACGCCGGGAAACUGGCGCUAAUACCGGAUACGCCCUUUUGGGGAAAGGCUUGCCGCCGAAGGAGUGGCCCGCGUUCGAUUAGCUUGAUGGCGGGGUAACGGCCCACCAUGGCGACGAUCGAUAGCUGGUCUGAGAGGAUGGCCAGCCACAUUGGGACUGAGACACGGCCCAAACUCCUACGGGAGGCAGCAGUGGGAAUAUUGGACAAUGGGCGCAAGCCUGAUCCAGCCAUGCCGCGUGAGUGAUGACGGCCUUAGGGUUGUAAAGCUCUUUCGCACGCGACGAUAAUGACGGUAGCGUGAGAAGAAGCCCCGGCUAACUUCGUGCCAGCAGCCGCGGUAAU